UCGUACUGAAAAGAACUUCCUGUACCAUUAAAGUACAAGUUAUAUGAUCUAGCCUACCCUAAUUGGAAGAUAUUAAAGUGCCCACGACAAAUAGCAUAUAGCAAGGAUUGUGGAAUUGCAUCAUGAGAUUUCUUAAAGACAUCAUUACUCAUGGGAUGACUCUAAUGCCCCCUACGUAUUAUCCUAAUUCAUAUUGUGAAGAAUUUGGGGAUUGUCACAUCAACGAAGUUAUUGAGGAAUAGUAUAAGUACAUUUUUCAGCUGUGAGCCAAAAUAAGUAAAUUGCACUUUUUCAUUUUAGUUUUUAUAAUUUAGAAUAAUCUUGGUUUAGUCUAGCAAACAACUUUAUUUU